rnacentral:rRNA from 1 species
CCUACGGGGGGCAGCAGUGGGGAAUAUUGGACAAUGGGGGCAACCCUGAUCCAGCCAUGCCGCGUGUGUGAAGAAGGCCCUCGGGUUGUAAAGCACUUUCAGUGAGGAAGAACGCCUGGUGGUUAAUACCCAUCAGGAAAGACAUCACUCACAGAAGAAGCACCGGCUAACUCCGUGCCAGCAGCCGCGGUAAUACGGAGGGUGCGAGCGUUAAUCGGAAUUACUGGGCGUAAAGCGCGCGUAGGUGGCUUGAUAAGCCGGUUGUGAAAGCCCCGGGCUCAACCUGGGAACGGCAUCCGGAACUGUCAAGCUAGAGUGCAGGAGAGGAAGGUAGAAUUCCCGGUGUAGCAGUGAAAUGCGUAGAGAUCGGGAGGAAUACCAGUGGCGAAGGCGGCCUUCUGGACUGACACUGACACUGAGGUGCGAAAGCGUGGGUAGCAAACAGGAUUAGAUACCCUAGUAGUC